UAAUUCUAAAAGGAUCGCCGAUAUUGUCUCCGAGACGGCAAAGCGGUCCAAGGAGUUUGCCGCCGAGGCCAAAGCCAUUGCUGACCACCGCAUUAAGUCCCUUACUGAGCAGAUCCCCUCCAUCACUCUUCUCAAUGCCUCAUCGCCUUUCUCCGAUGAUCCAAUUCCCGUAGAUCUUGAGAUAUUCGGUAUCACCGACGAUCUGAGACAGUUCGCUCGAGGUUCCACGGUCACAGCGUUUCGGAAUUUCCCCAUUCAUGAUGAUUCUAUAGUUUUUGAUGUGCCAACAGUAUUAAAUGAGAGGCAGAGUGGUAGCAGAAACAUGCAUUGAUCCUUGACAAGGACCUUAAUUUCAAAGGAAUUGAUCAUCUUGGCUAUCUUCGUCAAGCAUUUGAAGUUGGAUCCUUCAAUUAUUUUCUUGAAAGUGAGAUACUAAAUGGUUCUGAAUUUGAUGGGCACUGGUGGCUCCUGCAGGUUAAAAAUUCUGGCUUGGAUAGGCACAUUGAAACUAACUUAUGG